CUGAGAGUUUGAUCCUGGCUCAGAGCGAACGCUGGCGGCAGGCCUAACACAUGCAAGUCGAGCGCACCUUCGGGUGAGCGGCGGACGGGUUAGUAACGCGUGGGAACAUACCCUUUUCUACGGAAUAGCCUCGGGAAACUGAGAGUAAUACCGUAUAAGCCCUUCGGGGGAAAGAUUUAUCGGGAAAGGAUUGGCCCGCGUUAGAUUAGAUAGUUGGUGGGGUAAUGGCCUACCAAGUCUACGAUCUAUAGCUGGUUUUAGAGGAUGAUCA
rnacentral:rRNA from 1 species